UAGAAGCACAUGUAGUGCGUGACCUUGAGUUCUCACUAGGAUGACAAGUACUUCCUCUAGGAAAGUGACCGAUGUAAUUCUUAAAGGGAGAACUCAACAAUGUAUAACUUUUUGCUCUCAGUUCGUCCCAGGUACGUCCAAAACCUAAAGGUAGAUGCGACGCAACGCCUGGGCCCGGUUCCUUGCUCCGAAAACCGGCAAUCCAGCACCUCCACCGCAGAGGUGGAGACCAGAAGACGUAGCGGUCACCGAAGGGGGCUGAAUUUGGCGAAACUGGGGCCAGAGGGAGAUUACAGGAAGGGAGGUAACAGGCUGCCGUUUUCCGGUCGUCCGGUUUAGACCCCUAGGUCGCCACCGCCCAGUCUCGCAGAGAUCCGGUCUCUACUUACGCCGCGCGCAAGUCUGUCCGUGGUUCGCCAUGGCGAGGUCGCUGGAAGAGGUGGCCUGGGGCGGGGACAAGAAGAGCGGCCUCCCGCUUGGCCAUCGCGACCUAGAUGCCGGACUGGUCGUGAGACUAACACAACGGUACCUGGUGGUCUCCUGACGGACGCCGCCGCCGCCGCCGCCGCCGCCCCUGCCGCCGCUCGGAUCACUCCGGCUCGGGCUGCGGCUGCAGCUCCUGGAGGGCGAAGUGAAGGAGACACCGUUCCGCCCGCCGCAACCCCGUCCUCCCCCAGCCAGGACCCCGCCGCUGCCCCUCAGGGCUGCCCGCCGCGCCUGUCCUCACAAGGCCGUCCGCUGCCCACUCCAGCCUGCUUCGGAGAGGCCACGUGAAUCUAGGGCACCUUCACCCCCGGGGUAAGCCGCCUCCGUGCUUCGGCAGCGGUCAGGAGAACACAAAUCUCCGGGCCUCGACUCAGGCAGCGACCGGGGCAGCCCCAGAGACGAAGGGGCGGGGAACGACGGAGGGCGCGCAGAGGAGCUCGCGCGGGCGGGGGAUGGGGCGGAGGCCCCGCGCCAGUGCGUCACGGGGGCGGGGCGUCGGGUGGUGUCACGUACACCUCUCUGCAGCCUUUGGGGCGCUGGCUCUGGCUGCGCAAGGCGGUGGUCCUCCUAGCUGCUGAGGCUUCGGGUGCGUUGCCCGUCUGCCCUGAACUGAUGUAGCUUGAGCCUCUUAAACAUCAUCAAUGUCUCCAGUUUAAAGAAAACGAGCGAGGCGCCACCUGCAGGCCCCGAGCCCUUCCUGCACGUCCCGCACCCACAUGGGCGACUCUGUCCACACGCGGAACUCGGACUGUGGCUGCGGCGGCGACCCAGCCUGCCUCGAGGCCAGGCUGGUGAGAGGCCUGGAGGAAAUGUAGGAACCAAGCUGACCGAGCAUUAAAUUGCUGAACCCAAACUGUCUGAUGCGCUUGCUGGAAAAGUGGGAAAGCCAACGGAAUAAGAAAAUGAUCAGGUCUAUUGGGGGCUGGGGAUUCAGCUCAGAGGCAUAAGCGCCUGCCUUGCAAGCAGGUAGUCGCGAGUUCGAUCCCCGGUACCGAUAAAAAAGAAAAAGACAAAAAAAAAAGAAAAAAAAUGAUCGGUCUAAUGAGCCAAAAUUGGCAUCAAUUGGGGCUUCAAAUCAGCUACCUACCUCAGUUAUCGAGCUCAUUUAUCCCAGUUUCAUCAUCGAUAAAGGGGCUAGGUUAAAUGAGAUCUCUAAUAGCCAUUCAGCAGAUCUCUAAUAGCCAUUCAGCAGGGGAGGCCCAACUUCAUUUCCUUUACCUCUAGGUUCUCCUCUCCUAAACCUAGAAAAUGAUAGAUAGGCUUCCACAAUCCAAAACCUCAAAGCUGCAACCUGCAACCUGGUAGAUUCCUACAGCCAAACCUAGCUGGCUAGCUGGCAGUCUCAUGGCUGGGUUGAUUCAUGUAAAAGAUGAGAAGAAGGGGCUGGGGAUUUAGCUCAGCGGCAUAAGCACCUGCCUUGCAAGCAGGAGAUCGUGAGUUUGAUCCCCAGUACAGAUAAAAAAAAAAAAAAGAUGAACAGAAAAGUCUAAGAGAUCAGGCUCCAGAAGUUUGAUUUGUUCCUCUGUUCUUGCUUAGACACGUCAGCCUGCAACAGCCUGGCUCCACUGAGAGCCAAAAUGCUCUAGCUGCUGUCACUGUUACUACUACAAGGCUGGUGGCAGGCACCAGCGUCCCUACACCACCACCUGCCAGAAAAGUCCAGUCCCUACUAGAUCAGUUAGCUCCCCUAUCUGCAGCAGGGCUUACUCACAUUGUGAAUCAUCUAAACAAUGUUGUUUAACCCUCAGAGAAUUUUCAUCCUCUGCAACACCCCUAAAAAUGUAGACCAUGCUUAAUGACUGAGGGAAGUGCUGUGGCUAAAUAAGGAAUUGUAGAAAAGAGAUAAUUCUCUCCUUGCUCAUUAUAAAGGUUCAGCGCUGACAUAUCAAUACAUACAUACAAAAAAAGUCGAUGAUUGAGCAUAGUGACACACACCUUUAAUUCCAGGCCCUCCAGAGGCUGAAGAGGAAGGAUCACCAUGAGUUCAAUUCCAGCCUGAACAACAUAGUGAGACCCAGCUACAAAAAAUCAAAAAGAAGCCAUGAGUAGUGGCACACAUCUGUAAUCCCAGCACUCAGGAGGCUGAGGCAGAAGGAUUGCCCUGAGUUUGAGGCCAACCUCAGCUACAUAGUGAGUUCAAAGCCAACCUGGACUACAUAGCAAUUCCCUGUCCCAAAAAACCAACAACAACAAAAAAAAAAAAACCAACAACAAAAAUAGAGAAUGGACUAAUGAGCUUUGAUGAUCAAAGAAGGGGACAAAAUACAGAAUCCAGUCAGUCAAAGACGGAAAUGGCAAGGAAACAGAUUUUCCUCUCAGAUUCUCCGCCAGAGCAGGUCAUGAUGUAUGGAGAUCCCUUUUCUGUCUUGUCAAGGUCCUUGAAGUUUAAAUUUGUAAUCUAAUGGAAGUGUAUUGGAAUUUUAGCGAGUUAAUUCCAAUCUACCACUUCUAGUGCAACUAUGGCAAGAAUAAAGACACUAAGACAUGUUUAUAA